CGGGACGUAGCGCAGCCUGGUAGCGCGUUCGCUUGGGGUGCGAGAGGUCGUGAGUUCAAAUCUCGCCGUCCCGACCA
rnacentral:tRNA from 1 species